GAUUUUUGCACAUGGAUUUUAUUCUGUUCAGCUCUGAUUUUGGUUAUUUCUUGUCUUCUGCUAACUUUGGAGUUGGUUUGCUCUUAUUUCCCUAGUUCCUCUAGUUGUGAUGUUAAGUUGUUAAUUUGAGAUCUUUCUAACUUUUUGAUGUGGGUGUUCAGCGCUAUAAACUUGCCUCUUAAUACUGCCUUAGCUGUGUUUCAGAGAUUCUGGCAUGUUGCAUCUCUAUUCUCAUUUAUUUAAA